AUUGAACGCUGGCGGCAGGCCUAACACAUGCAAGUCGAGCGGAGCGGCGGACGGGUGAGGAAUGCCUAGGAAUCUGCAUGGUAGGGGGGGAUAACGUCCGGAAACGGGCGCUAAUACCGCAUACUAGCAGAUGAGCCUAGGUCGGAUUAGCUAGUAGGUGGGGUAAAGGCCUACCAAGGCGACGAUCCGUAACUGGUCUGGGAGGAUGAUCAGUCACACUGGAACUGAGACACGGUCCAGACCCCUACGGGAGGCAGCAGUGGGGAAUAGUGGACAAUGGGCGAAAUCCUGAUCCAUCCAUGCCGCGUGUGUGAAGAAGGUCGUCGGAUUGUAAAGCACUUUAAGUUGGGAGGCGUUACCAACAGAAUAAGCACCGGCUAACUUCGUGCCAGCAGCCGCGGUAAUUC
rnacentral:rRNA from 1 species